AUGACCGGACAUAAACACAUGUUCUGUGAGCUUGCUAAAAAUGACGGCCCUCGAAAGUAUGUCACUUUUGGUGAUAAUUCAAAGGGUAAGGUGGUUGGCCUUGGUAAGGUGGCCAUCUCACAUGAUAGCUCCAUACAAAAUGUCAUGCUCGUUGAAUCCCUUGGAUACAAUUUACUUUCAGUUUCUAGACUUGCGGAUUUCGAGUUCAAUGUCUUAUUCACUGAAGUAGAUUGCCAAGUGUUUCGUAGAGACAAUCAUAAAAUGGUCUUUACCGGUAUACGUAGAGGGGAUCUUUACAUUGUUGAUUUCACUAAAAAGGCUCAACCUAAAACUUGCUUAAUUGCCAAAUCUUCUAAAGGCUGGUUGUGGCAUAGAAGACUAGGUCAUGUUGGUAUGCGAAAUCUUGAUAAGCUUAUUAAAGGUGAUCAUAUCCUUGGAAUAAAAGAUGUCAUAUUUGACAAGGAUAGACUUUGUAGUGCUUGUCAAGCAGGGAAACAAGUUGGAGGAAGUCACCGCGCGAAGAACAUCAUGACCACAAGAAGACCACUCGAGCUACUUCACAUGGAUCUCUUUGGUCCAAAUGCCUACAAGAGUCUCGGUGGUAACUCAUUUGGUCUAGUCAUAGUUGAUGAUUUUUCAAGAUUUACGUGGGUGUUCUUUCUUGAUGACAAAUUGCAGGUCCAAAAGAUCUUCAAAAACUUCGCUAGGAAGGCCCAAAAUCAGUUUGACGUGAAGAUCAAGAAGGUUCGGGGUGAAAAUGGAACGGAGUUCAAGAACGCAAAUGUGGACACCUUUCUUGACGAAGAAGGGAUUUCACACGAGUUCUCGGCUACGUACACACCUCAACAAAAUGGAGUUGUUGAAAGGAAGAACCGGACUCUUAUCGAGAUGGCAAGAACGAUGCUUGAUGAGUACAAAACGCCAAAGCACUUUUGGGCGGAAGCGGUUGAGACAGCUUGUCAUGCAACAAAUUGCUUGUAUCUUCACAAGCUACUCGGCAAGACGGCAUACGAGCUCCUCACCGGUAACAAACCCCAAGUUGGAUACUUUUGA
rnacentral:rRNA from 1 species